ACACGUAGGGGCCUGACGUUGUUCGGAAUCAUUGGGCGUAAAGGGCGCGCAGGCGGCCGUCCAAGUCCGGUGUUAAAUGGUCGGGCUCAACCCGAUCAUGCGCUGGAAACUGGGCGGCUGGAGUCCCGGAGGGGAUGCCGGAAUUCCAGGUGUAGGGGUGAAAUCUGUAGAUAUCUGGAAGAACACCGAUGGCGAAGGCAGGCAUCUGGCCGGAGACUGACGCUGAGGCGCGAAGGUGCGGGGAGCGAACAGGUUUAGAUGCCCUGGUAGUCCGCGCAGUAAACGAUGCGCACCAGGUGUCGGGCGGCAGCGCCCGGUACCGGAGCAAACGCGAUGAGUGCGCCGCCUGGGGAGUAUGCCCGCAAGGGUGAAACUCAAAUGAAUUGACGGGG
rnacentral:rRNA from 1 species